ensembl:lincRNA
CAGCACAGGAGGUGAGGCUCACAAAGCCAAGGGCCCUAAGCACACACGGGACUGGAGAACAGACAUUUUCCUUCUGUUCUUCAACCAUUCAGUGAACAGCUGGGCACCAAGAAAAUGAGCAGCUCCAGAUAUCAAUUAUUCUGCCACCCACCUGCUUCCCUAUAUGCCACUUCCUUUGAAGGAACACAUUUCUGGAACUACCAGGCUACAAUCCAGAAAACAGAAGCUGUUCUUGGUAUUCUGAGUAGGAAAGAGCUUCAUACAGGGAAUUAGAGGAGACACAGCUAUUGGAAAGUCAAGAGAGCAUAGAUCAGGAAGGUCGCUUUCAGGAAAUCCAGAAGUACAGGAUCAUUGGAAAGCCACCACCAAUGGCCUCAGCUUCUGCAGCAUGAACAUAGUUCAUUUUCAGAAAGACCUGCAUUGCGGUUGGAAGUCACUGCCAAUGAUCCCAGCUGCCUACAGCACAGAAGCAGAUUAUUCUUAAGAAAAUGCUCUAAAGCAAGCCACCAGUAAAAUCCUACAUUAGCUGUCUGCUCAUGCUUCUAUGAGGAAAACAGCAUCUCUCUUCUUUCUGCCUUCCCAAAUCUUUGGAAAUCCCCCUUUGGAGGAAUCCAACCAAGACCUUCCUGGCAAGGGAGACUGAGAAUGCAAUUUCUGUUUUCUCCCCCUGCAGUUCAGAUAAGACUGCUUAGAUGGGUGAUGAUAAUAUUGAAAACCAAAAAUAAUAUCCUGCACACUGAAGCUCACAGAAAUUAUUAAAGGUCACGACUAUUAUAUUUUUGACCAUUUUAAUUUUCCUGCACCAUCUUAUCCUGCUCUAUGUAUCUUGUUUAGCAUGUCGAUAGCAUAUAAUAAAUUAUUUGAGGACAAUAGCAUAAGAAAAGUAAGGUUCCUUCAAGGUCUAAAGUUUUAGCCUAUGAGCCUCAAAUAAAUCUGGACUUUGAUAAACAUUAUUAUUGAGUAGAAAAAUUAUGUGAUGAGGAGAGAGGACAAGGCCCACUCCAUAGUUUGCUACUAGAUUCCACCUUAAAGAAAGUGAUAUUCCUUCUCUAGGCCUCAUUAUUUCUCAUCUGGAAUAAAGGUUUUAGACUAGAUAUGUGGUUUCCAGACUUUCUGAUAGCUAUGGAGCCAUUCUUGAAAUGAAAUUCCACAAGGAGUUCCAGUAAAGGGAGGAGCUGGGCCGGGCACAGUGGCUCACACCUGUAAUCCCAGCACUUUGAGAGGCUGAGGCGGCUGGAUCACCUGAGGUCAGGAGUUCAAGACCAGCCUGGCCAACGUGGUAAAACCCCAUCUCUACUAAAAAUACAAAAAUUAGCUGGGCAUGGUGGCGUGCACCUGUAAUCCCAGCUACUGGGGAGGCUGAGGCACAAGAAUCACUUCAACCUGGGAGGCAGAGGUUGCAGUGACCCAAGAUCUCGCCACUGCUCUCCAGCCUGGACAACAGAGUGAGACUCCGUCUUAGAAAAAAAAAGUGGGGGAGAGGAGCUGCCCAUUUGUAGUGGGAUGGAGACCUGGAGCCCAGCCUUCCUGGGACAGCUCUAGAGAGUCCCUUUGGCUCCAUCAGGCGUAGUUUAAAAACUCCAGGAUGGGCCUAUCUGUAACGUAUCC